AAGUCGUAACAAGGUUUCCGUAGGUGAACCUGCGGAAGGAUCAUUAACACGUAUCCACGUAUCAACACGAACCACCACGAACUGAUCUCCCCGAGACAACCUACCUCUAAGCUGCCUUGCUCGUGCUUACAAUGGGUUUCACUCUUUCGAGAGUGAGGCAUAGCACUUCUCGGCUAUCGCUCCUUCGAGGGCGAAAGCGAAGUAAUUGGCUUGUCGGGCUUUACCAUUUUCAAUCCGCUUCAAGGUACCCAUUCUUCCCUUGGCGGUGCGAUACCCAUACCCUUUUCACCCUAUUUUACCCAAUUGGCUAAUUUUUACAUUCUCGGAGCGAAAGCUCUGUUGAAUUUCUAAGAUUUAUCUUAACUAAGCACAACUCUUAGCAAUGGAUAUCUUGGUUCUC
rnacentral:misc_RNA from 1 species